rnacentral:rRNA from 1 species
UGGGGAAUCUUGCGCAAUGGGCGAAAGCCUGACGCAGCGACGCCGCGUGAGGGAGGAAGGCCUUCGGGUUGUAAACCUCUUUCAGGAGGGACGAAGCUACUCGGGUUAAUAGCCCAGAGGGUGACGGUACCUCCAGAAGAAGCCCCGGCUAACUACGUGCCAGCAGCCGCGGUAAUACGUAGGGGGCAAGCGUUGUCCGGAUUUACUGGGCGUAAAGAGCGUGUAGGCGGCCACGCAGGUCCGUUGUGAAAACUGGAGGCUUAACCUCCAGACGUCGACGGAAACCGUGUGGCUAGAGUCCGGAAGAGGAGAGUGGAAUUCCUGGUGUAGCGGUGAAAUGCGCAGAUAUCAGGAAGAACACCAAAUGGCGAAAGGCAGCUCUCUGGGACGGUACUGACGCUGAGACGCGAAAAGCGUGGGGAGCGAACAGGAUUAGAUACCCUGGUAGUCCACGCCGUAAACGAUGGGUGCUAGGUGUGGGAGGUGUCGACUCCUUCCGUGCCGUAGCU